CGGAACUCACGUGACUGACAAAAAGAAACCGAAAGCGAUCGAAUCAGAUGACUAGACGCCAUUUCGGAUGAUUGAAAAUCAAGUGUCUUUGCAUGUUACGGACUGAAAUCAAGUCUCUCAUCGAGGAAGAAGAGAAUCAGAAAAAAACAGCCUGAGAAAUGAGUGUGUAUGAGGAGAGAGAGCAGGAGGCUCCUGAUCACACUCAGAGAGCAGCAUCUCCAGGAUUCAGCUGUGUAUCUAUGAAGAGUAACAACUCCACGCAUCUGCCCCCUGAACUCAGUAAUUUUUACACUCAGAGAACAGCAUCUCCAGGAUUCAGCUGUGUAUCUAUGAAGAGUAACAACUCCACGCAUCUGCCCCCUGAACUCAGUAAUUUUUACACUCAGAGAACAGCAUCUCCAGGAUUCAGCUGUGUGUCUGUGAAGAGUAACAACUCCAUGAUUCUGCCCCCUGAACUCAGUGGUUUUCACACUCAGAGAACAGCAUCUCCAGGAUUCAGCUGUGUGUCUGUGAAGAGUAACAACUCCACGCAUCUGCCCCCUGAACUCAGUCAUUUUUACACUCAGAGAACAGCAUCUCCAGGAUUCAGCUGUGUGUCUGUGAAGAGUAACAACUCCAUGAUUCUGCCCCCUGAACUUAGUGAUUUUCACACUCCGAGAACAGCAUCUCCAGGAUUCAGCUGUGUGUCUAUGAAGAGUAACAACUCCAUGAUUCUGCCCCCUGAACUCAGUGGUUUUCACACCAAAUAGAACAGCAUCUCCAGGAUUCAGCUGUGUGUCUAUGAAGAGUAACAACUCCAUGAUUCUGCCCCCUGAACUCAGUGGUUUUCACACCAAUAGAACAGCAUCUCCAGGAUUCAGCUGUGUGUCUAUGAAGAGUAACAACUCCAUGAUUCUGCCCCCUGAACUCAGUGGUUUUCACACCAAUAGAACAGCAUCUCCAGGAUUCAGCUGUGUAUCUAUGAAGAGUAACAACUCCAUGAUUCUGCCCCCUGAACUCAGUGGUUUUCACACCAAUAGAACAGCAUCUCCAGGAUUCAGCUGUGUAUCUAUGAAGAGUAACAACUCCAUGAUUCUGCCCCCUGAAUUCAGUGAUGUUCACACCUCUGACUCUGUCAUCAUCAGCAGGAAGAGAAAGAGAGCAGCUUCUCCACUGCAGCCCCCUGAUCUCAGUGAUGAAUUAGUGACCUUUGA